rnacentral:rRNA from 1 species
CUACGGGAGGCACCAGUGAGGAAUAUUGCACAAUGGGGGGAACCCUGAUGCAGCAACGCCGCGUGGAGGAUGACGCAUUUCGGUGUGUAAACUCCUUUUAUAUGUCAAGGAAAUGACGGUAGCAUAUGAAUAAGCACCGGCUAACUCCGUGCCAGCAGCCGCGGUAAUACGGAGGGUGCAAGCGUUACUCGGAAUCACUGGGCGUAAAGGACGCGUAGGCGGGCUUGUAAGUCAGGUGUGAAAUCCUACAGCUUAACUGUAGAACUGCACUUGAAACUACGAGCCUAGAGUAUGGGAGGGGGAGAUGGAAUUAGUGGUGUAGGGGUAAAAUCCGUAGAUAUCACUAGGAAUACCUAAAGCGAAGGCGAUCUCCUGGAACAUAACUGACGCUAAGGCGUGAAAGCGUGGGGAGCAAACAGGAUUAGAUACCCCGGUAGUC